UAAUAUAUCGGAACGUACCCUAGAGUGGGGGAUAACGUAGCGAAAGUUACGCUAAUACCGCAUACGAUCUAAGGAUGAAAGUGGGGGAUCGCAAGACCUCAUGCUCGUGGAGCGGCCGAUAUCUGAUUAGCUAGUUGGUAGGGUAAAAGCCUACCAAGGCAUCGAUCAGUAGCUGGUCUGAGAGGACGACCAGCCACACUGGAACUGAGACACGGUCCAGACUCCUACGGGAGGCAGCAGUGGGGAAUUUUGGACAAUGGGCGAAAGCCUGAUCCAGCAAUGCCGCGUGAGUGAAGAAGGCCUUCGGGUUGUAAAGCUCUUUUGUCAGGGAAGAAACGGUGAGAGCUAAUAUCUCUUGCUAAUGACGGUACCUGAAGAAUAAAGCACCGGCUAAACUACGUGCCCAGCAGCCCGCGGUAAUACGUAGGUGCAAGCGUUAAUCGGAAUUACUGGGCGUAAAGCGUGCGCAGGCGGUUUUGUAAGUCUGAUGUGAAAUCCCCGGGCUCAACCUGGGAAUUGCAUUGGAGACUGCAAGGCUAGAAUCUGGCAGAGGGGGGUAGAAUUCCACGUGUAGCAGUGAAAUGCGUAGAUAUGUGGAGGAACACCGAUGGCGAAGGCAGCCCCCUGGGUCAAGAUUGACGCUCAUGCACGAAAGCGUGGGGAGCAAACAGGAUUANNUACCCUGGUAGUCCACGCCCUAAACGAUGUCACCNNUGUCGGGUCUUAAUUGACUUGGUAACGCAGCUAACGCGUGAAGUAGACCGCCUGGGAGAUACGGUCGCAAGAUUAAAACUCAAAGGAAUUGACGGGGACCCGCACAAGCGGUGGAUGAUGUGGAUUAAUUCGAUGCAACGCGAAAAACCUUACCUACCCUUGACAUGGCUGGAAUCCUUGAGAGAUCAGGGAGUGCUCGAAAGAGAACCAGUACACAGGUGCUGCAUGGCUGUCGUCAGCUCGUGUCGUGAGAUGUUGGGUUAAGUCCCCGCAACGAGCGCAACCCUUGUCAUUAGUUGCUACGAAAGGGCACUCUAAUGAGACUGCCGGUGACAAACCGGAGGAAGGUGGGGAUGACGUCAAGUCCUCAUGGCCCUUAUGGGUAGGGCUUCACACGUCAUACAAUGGUACAUACAGAGCGCCGCCAACCCGCGAGGGGGAGCUAAUCGCAGAAAGUGUAUCGUAGUCCGGAUUGUAGUCUGCAACUCGACUGCAUGAAGUUGGAAUCGCUAGUAAUCGCGGAUCAGCAUGUCGCGGUGAAUACGUUCCCGGGUCUUGUACACACCGCCCGUCACACCAUGGGAGCGGGUUUUACCAGAAGUAG
rnacentral:rRNA from 1 species